AACGAACGCUGGCGGCGUGGAUAAGACAUGCAAGUCGGACGAGAUUUUUCGUUGUAGCAAUAUGAUGGGAAGUUUAGUGGCGAACGGGUGCUUAACACGUGGGCAACCUGCCAGGAAGUGGGGGAUAGCUCGCCGAAAGGCGAAUUAAUACCGCAUGUGAUUAGAGAGGACAUCCUUUCGAAAUUAAAGUCGGGGCAACCUGACGCUUCUUGUGGGGCCCGCGGCCUAUCAGCUAGUUGGUGGGGUAACGGCUCACCAAGGCUUUGACGGGUAGCUGGUCUGAGAGGACGACCAGCCACACUGGGACUGAGACACGGCCCAGACACCUACGGGUGGCAGGAGUCGAGAAUUUUUGACAAUGGGGGAAACCCGGAUCGAGCGACGCCGCGUGGAGGAUGAAGGUCUUCGGAUUGUAAACUCCUGUCAUUGGGGAACAAUGCGUGACGGUUAACUGCCGUCGCGUUGAUAGUACCCGAAGAGGAAGAGACGGCUAACUCUGUGCCAGCCGCCGCGGUAACAC
rnacentral:rRNA from 1 species